GUCACAACUUCGCUGGUUUGGCGUGCCAACUUAAAUUCCCCGUAGACGGCCAUGCGAUGGUUGGCAAGUGGUCUUGCGUUGUGGGCUGCACAAACCACUCCCCGAAUACUCGGAGAGUCUGCUAUCACAGGUUUCAGAGUGACAGCGCUCUCCGCGCGAAGCGGAUCUUGUGUUCCCAUUACUGUGUUGACACUCGCCGCUACGCUUGAGGAGUGGGCUGGGCGCGGGCACGCGGGCAGACCGACAGACUGUGUUCGCCGAUGACCUUGAGCCACGAGUAGUUUUCACGGCGCGCGUUGAGAUGGCGCUACAGAAUGGGGUCUCAGGGGCUCGCGCGCAAAGAAAGAUCUUCCUGAAAACUUUGUGUGCAUGCGUUGCCCUAUUCCUGUGAGCCCUGUCAGCGUCAGUGCAUUUGUUUUGCUGAUUCGUGUAUUGCGAUUGAGUGCACGUAUACCUCGACGCUGUGUAUGAUGCCUUUAGCGGCCUUGUCACUGGCUGCGCCUCGAAAUGGGCAAAAAAUGUUUUGUCCCGAAUUGCAGGUCGGGGUAUAGGACUUGUACGGAGCGUGUGUCGCUUUUCAAGGCUCCACGUGAACCAGAGCGCUUAGAUAAGUGGCGACGGGCGAUUCCGAGAGCGGACAGAGUUUUGAAGCCUACUGACCACGUGUGCGCGAAACAUUUCCCGGAAGAAGCGAUCUCUGUGGCAUAUCACGCAGAGUACAAGGGAAACGUCCUGUUGCACGCCCGAAAGAAACCUACGCUCUCUUCGGAUGCUGUGCCUAGCAUUUUCCACGGCUGCCCAAACUACCUGACCGUGCAGCAAAGAACCGGGAAACCUUCGCGAAAACGGCAGGCUCUACUGCCGACUUCUCGGAAGCGACGGGGGCCAAAAGGUUCAACUGCUUCGGAAGUGCCUUACCCGACCGCUGAAUGUACGCCACAUUUAUUGCACGUAGAGACGACUCCACGGCAUGGCGAUGCUGAAUCAACGGGCACGCAAAGCAAGAGGCCGCGCUUCGACUUCUGCAGCGACGAGCCUACUCCACGUGAACAGGAGGCUUCGGAACACAACACUGAUUGUGUGAGUGGCCUAUGCGCCAGCGACUCACGUCGUCAUCAAGCGGGAAAGCAGCAUUCCCGUGAAGCUCUUGCCGCACCAGAGGCUGACCAUGCAGAGAGCAGCAAUCGGCGUGACUUGAGCUGCCAAGGGAACACCACCACCCAGUGCACUGAGGGAUCUCAGCCAUAUACGCGUGACGUCGAUGUUUAUGUGCAGACAACUGCUCGAGCACAGAGCACUAAGGCUGUACAGGCGUGCAUCAAGAAGCAAUCUAUUGGUGUCCAGACCAAGCCCGCUGCCUACUUAUGAUAGCUGCUACCAAACUGACGACUGGUAGCAGUACAGUGAUGAGGGGUCCAGGCCAGCCCGCUGCCUAUACUGAUGACAGCUGUGACCAAAGUGACUACGCGCUGCUGCACAAUGAUGAGGUACUACCAGAAUGGAGGCCUUUGUGCUCUACGUCAAGGCAUGAUGCAAAUGCCCCGAGUCUGAACCUGAGCAUGCGUGCAAAUUUGAUUGCAGUUAUGUAUUAGUUUUACGAGGCACUUCAGAGAACUACCAGCACUGUAUGCAAUUGUUAGGAAUAUUUCAGGACGGACUACCUCGGACAUGAUACAUUCAGCUGUGAGGACAAGGAACCAGACAUUCGGAUAUGUCAUCCGGCGCUCCGAACUGUGCCAUAACUUGUGGGUGGGUUGCCGCACCCCCUUCCACGUUUUCCUGAAGACGCUCACGUACAGAUGCUCCGGGCCCCGCCACGGUGGUCUAGUGGCUACGGCGCUCGACUGCUCACCCGAAGGUCGCGGGAUCGAAUCCCGGCCGCGGCGCGGCUGCAUUUUCGAUGGAGACGAAAAUAUUUGAGGCCCGUGUGCUUAGAUUAGGUGCACGUUAAAGAACCGCAGGCGGUCGAAAUUUCCGGAGCCGUCCACUACGGCGUCCCUCAUAGAUCGUGGUUUGCAGGUGUUCUGAGAAAAAGAAAGCCGCCGUCGUAUUACACAAGCUCAUAUGUUUCCGCGUUAGUCAGAUGUGGUGGUUCAACCCAUCGAGAGGAAGUUACUUUGCGGAGGCUUCGUGUCGGGGUUGCGCUUGUGACCACUCUCUAGGCGCAACAUUUCCGCGGCCCAAAUGGUGCAUCGUGCCCAUUCGCGACGCCCGAAUCCGCGACAUGACUGCGACGCACUUGCUGUGGACUUGUGCAGGCCUGCCAUUAAGCCGUCUUCGUCACCUCCAUGCAACAGCCUUCAGACCUGGCCGACCACCCGACCUCGAUCGCUGGAUUCACGGACCAUACCACCGUUCAUUGUUAGACUUUGUACAUACAGCGAAUUUGCGUGUGUAUUUUUGACACCAUAAAUUGCUAUGCCUAAGGGAAGGCUUUCGAAAUAAUAAAAAAAAAGAAAUUGUACCAUAACUACAAUUAUGUCGGCCUGUCUCUUGCAGUGCAAUAUUUAGCUCAACAUUUCUUGCACUGCAGUAUGUAUGAACGCUAUUCAAGAGGUGUUGUAAUUAAAGCACAUCUAUU